rnacentral:rRNA from 1 species
UAUCCGGAUUUAUUGGGUUUAAAGGGAGCGUAGGCGGGUGCUUAAGUCAGUUGUGAAAGUUUGCGGCUCAACCGUAAAAUUGCAGUUGAUACUGGGCGCCUUGAGUGCAGCAUAGGUAGGCGGAAUUCGUGGUGUAGCGGUGAAAUGCUUAGAUAUCACGAAGAACUCCGAUUGCGAAGGCAGCUUACUGGACUGUAACUGACGCUGAUGCUCGAAAGUGUGGGUAUCAAACAGGAUUAGAUACCCUGGUAGUCCACACAGUAAACGAUGAAUACUCGCUGUUGGCGAUACACAGUCAGCGGCCAAGCGAAAGCAUUAAGUAUUCCACCUGGGGAGUACGCCGGCAACGGUGAAACUCAAAGGAAUUGACGGGGGCCCGCACAAGCGGAGGAACAUGUGGUUAAUUCGAUGAUACGCGAGAACCUUACCCGGGCUUAAAUGCACGCG